rnacentral:rRNA from 1 species
GACGAACGCUGGCGGCGUGCUUAACACAUGCAAGUCGAACGGAAAGGCCCUGCUUUUGUGGGGUGCUCGAGUGGCGAACGGGUGAGUAACACGUGAGUAACCUGCCCUUGACUUUGGGAUAACUUCAGGAAACUGGGGCUAAUACCGGAUAGGAGCUCCUGCUGCAUGGUGGGGGUUGGAAAGUUUCGGCGGUUGGGGAUGGACUCGCGGCUUAUCAGCUUGUUGGUGGGGUAGUGGCUUACCAAGGCUUUGACGGGUAGCCGGCCUGAGAGGGUGACCGGCCACAUUGGUACUGAGAUACGGCCCAGACUCCUACGGGAGGCAGCAGUGGGGAAUAUUGCACAAUGGGCGGAAGCCUGAUGCAGCAACGCCGCGUGCGUGAUGACGUCCUUCGGGUUGUAAACCGCUUUCGCCUGUGACGAAGCGUGAGUGACGGUAAUUAGUAAAGAAGCACCGGCUAACUACGUG